AUUUUAUUUCUUUCCAGCAUUUUUCGCAAGCUAAGUGCCGAAAUGGAUUAUGAGAAGAGAUACAAGCCGGAGGAAACAAAAGUUUACAAGUUGCUGUAGUAGUCUGUGUAUCUUGAUUAAUCUUAAAAAGGCACAGGCAACAUAUUUAUAAUCGCGUUCGUUAUUACGUUGUAGCUUCUACAAAUUUUCCACUUACAUAAGUGUCAAGAAAUCUUGACGAAAUCGAAGGAAACUAUCAAGCUGAAAAGUGGGCACGAACACAUACCUUCAUGCAUAUGUACAUAGGUGCCCUUACAUUACCCCUUGAAGUGACUGAGGAUGUGCAAAUUAUCAACGAUAAAAUUCUAUGGCGUAGAUAAGAGCGCUGCGUCAACUAACACUUUCACACUGAUCAUAGGAACAGAUCGUCUUGGAUAUAUUUGAAUAGCUGAAACAUUAUUUUAGCCAACGCAAGAUAA